CCGGAUAUGGUGCAAAGGAUAGCGCGGCCCUCGUGAUCGCUCGUGGGCAAACCGAGGGAGGGCAGAUCGGGGUUCAAUUCCCCGUUUCCGCG